rnacentral:rRNA from 1 species
GACGAACGCUGGCGGCGUGCUUAACACAUGCAAGUCGAACGAAGUGGCGAACGGGUGCGUAACGCGUAAUCAACCUGCCCUUCAGAGGGGGUCAACAGUUGGAAACGACUGCUAAUACCGCAUACUGAUGGAGGGGAUGGCGUCGGAUUAGCUAGUUGGAGGGGUAACGGCCCACCAAGGCGAGGAUCAGGAGCCUGGCUGAGGUGAUGAACGGCCACAUUGGGACUGAGACACGGCCCAGACGCCUACAGGAGGCAGCAGUGGGGAAUCUUCCGCAAUGGACGAAAGUCUGACGGAGCAACGCCGCGGGAUGGAUGACGGCCUUCGGGUUGGAAAGGUCUGUUAAUCGGGACGCGGUACCGGAAGAGGAAGCAACGGCUAACUACGUGCCAGCCGCCGCGGUAAUUC